GUGUCAGCAGCCGCGGUAAUACGUAGGGUGCGAGCGUUGUCCGGAAUUACUGGGCGUAAAGAGUUCGUAGGCGGUUUGUCGCGUCGUUUGUGAAAUCCCGCAGCUUAACUGUGGGCGUGCAGGCGAUACGGGCAGACUUGAGUGCUGUAGGGGAGACUGGAAUUCCUGGUGUAGCGGUGAAAUGCGCAGAUAUCAGGAGGAACACCGGUGGCGAAGGCGGGUCUCUGGGCAGUAACUGACGCUGAGGAACGAAAGCGUGGGGAGCAAACAGGAUUAGAUACCCUGGUAGUCCACGCCGUAAACGGUGGGUACUAGGUGUGGGUCCCUUCCACGGGAUCCGUGCCGUAGCUAACGCAUUAAGUACCCCGCCUGGGGAGUACGGCCGCAAGGCUAAA
rnacentral:rRNA from 1 species